rnacentral:rRNA from 1 species
AUUGAACGCUGGCGGCAUGCCUUACACAUGCAAGUCGAACGGUAACAGGUCUUCGGAUGCUGACGAGUGGCGAACGGGUGAGUAAUACAUCGGAACGUGCCCGAGAGUGGGGGAUAACGAGGCGAAAGCUUUGCUAAUACCGCAUACGAUCUCAGGAUGAAAGCAGGGGACCGCAAGGCCUUGCGCUCACGGAGCGGCCGAUGGCAGAUUAGGUAGUUGGUGGGAUAAAAGCUUACCAAGCCGACGAGCUGUAGCUGGUCUGAGAGGACGACCAGCCACACUGGGACUGCGACACGGCCCAGACUGCUACGGGAGGCAGCAGUGGGGAAUUUUGGACAAUGGGCGCAAGCCUGAUCCAGCCAUGCCGCGUGCAGGAUGAAGGCCUUCGGGUUGUAAACUGCUUUUGCACGGAACGAAACGGCUCUGGUUAAUACCUGGGGCUAAUGACGGUACCGUAAGAAUAAGCACCGGCUAACUACGUGCCAGCCGCCGCCGUAAUAC